AGUGAACGCUGGCGGCAUGCCUUACACAUGCAAGUCGAACGGCAACAGGCCGAGAGGUGCCGACUACUGGUGGCCGGGGGCGUAAUGGUUCGGAAUGUGUCCAGUCCUUGUGGAUAACGGCUCGAAAGGGUAGCUAAUACCGCAUACGAUCUAAUACGUACAGCGGGGGACAGCAAGGGAUCUCGCGAUUUUAGCGGCCGAUGUUAGAUGAGGUCGGAUUAGGUAGUUGGGGGGGUAAAGGCUCACCAAGGCAACGAUCCGUAGCUGGGCUGAGAGGACGAUCAGCCACACUGGAACUGAGACACGGUCCAGACUCCUACGGGAGGCAGCAGUGGGGAAUAUUGGACAAUGGGCGCAAGCCUGAUCCAGCAAUGCCGCGUGGAUGAAGAAGGCCUUCGGGUUGUAAACUGCUUUUGUUAGGAAAGAAAAGGCGCUGGUUAAUACCCGGGGGUAAUGACGGUACCGAAAGAAUAAGCACCGGCUAACUACGUG
rnacentral:rRNA from 1 species